UGUAGAAAUAGAAAUAUCAAAUAAUUAUUAUUUAAGUUUAAUAUUUUUUUAUAAGAAAAUAGUUAUUUUGUUUUGUGCAUAAUUUUUGCGUAAUAUAUUAUAAUGACGUUACUGUGUAUCGUUGCCAUUUUUGAAACCGUGGAAAGUAAUAAAAGUUGCACGUUAUUGACUGUAGUGUGGUAUACUUACUUAGUUUUUAGAUUUUUCUAAAAAAAUUUCGGGUCCGGAUGAUUUAUAUAGUCAAUUUAUAGAAAAUAUAGACCCUGAGUGGUUAAAUCGUCUGUCUAGAAUUAUUUUAAGCCAAUUUGGUGUUACUAUGAACAAUACUGGAGGAAAAUUCAACGUUGUUUCCAUUAAAAACAAAACCAACCGUGGAUCGAAUUUUUAAUAUACAGUUUGUCCCAUAAUAAUUCAAAAGAGGUUUGCUGAAAACGAGGUGCAGAAAAUCGGAAAAUGAACAUUAUUGUGGGAUUUAUUUUUUAAAAUGUUUGUUUUUGAAGAGUUUUAAUAAAAAAAAAAAUUGUUUCGAAGGUUACAAUUUCAAUUUCAUCAUAAUUAAAGUAAUAUAAACAUGAACUUUCUCGAAAUAACUUUUCAAAUAAUUAAAUCCAUAAUAUGUACAGAGUAAUAGGUCGAAAAGUAGAAAAAAAAAUUAUUUUGAAACUAGUUUUCAAUUAAAGAAGAAUUAAAGAAAAUUUAAUGAUAUUGGAUGAUUUUCAGAUUUUCUACAGCCAAAAUCGAGGAAAACCGAAGUUUGAAUUCAAAUAAUAAUACAUUAGCUAACAAUUAUAUUUUUUUAUAUAGUUUUCACCCAGUUCGACCCUGCAUUUUAUUUACAUUAUGCAAGGAAUCUCCUAAGUGACGUCACUUGACAGCUAUGGUGGAUAUCGUAAACAAAGUGCAGGGCCGGACUGACUCGGAAACCGAUAACAUUUAUACCAAAUAAAAUCUUUAAGCGGGAUUUUUUUGCGCGUAAAAAUAUAGAUUUAAAGAAAUGAUUUCCGGAUUUUUUACAGUCAAAAACGAGGAUAACUGGUACAUCCUCCAAAGGAUAAUCGAGAACGUUAUCGAUGAGGUUCAAAGGUAUAGUCGAGACUAACAGUCAAAUCAAGGUUGUUUAAGGCCUUUUGUAUUUUCAAAAAUGACAUAGCGGGUCUACCAAAAAGCUUAUGAGCGUACUACCGGUGAUUUUUUUUCCAAAAUUCACCGUAAAACGAGACUAUACUGUAAUAAAAUAACCUAGAAUUUAUAUAUAAAAACCCACGGUGGUAAUUUUUUUUUAAACGACCUUGAACUACCAUCCACCGAAGACAAAAAUAAAA